rnacentral:rRNA from 1 species
CCUACGGGGGGCAGCAGUGGGGAAUAUUGCGCAAUGGGGGAAACCCUGACGCAGCGACGCCGCGUGGGUGAUGAAGGCCUUCGGGUCGUAAAGCCCUGUCGGAGGGGAAGAAGGAUUGGCGUUCGAAUAGGGCGUUGAUCUGACGGUACCCUCAAAGGAAGCACCGGCUAACUCCGUGCCAGCAGCCGCGGUAAUACGGAGGGUGCAAGCGUUGCUCGGAAUCACUGGGCGUAAAGAGCGUGUAGGCGGUUUCGUAUGUCUGGCGUGAAAGCCCCGGGCUCACCCCGGGAAGUGCGCUGGAAACUGCGAAACUAGAGUCCCGGAGAGGAAGGUGGAAUUCCAGGUGUAGCGGUGAAAUGCGUAGAUAUCUGGAAGAACACCGGUGGCGAAGGCGGCCUUCUGGACGGUGACUGACGCUGAGACGCGAAAGCGUGGGGAGC